rnacentral:rRNA from 1 species
UACGUAGGGUGCAAGCGUUAAUCGGAAUUACUGGGCGUAAAGCGUGCGCAGGCGGUUGUGCAAGACAGAUGUGAAAUCCCCCGGGCUCAACCUGGGAAUUGCGAUGGAGACUGCAAGGCUAGAAUCUGGCAGAGGGGGGUAGAAUUCCACGUGUAGCAGUGAAAUGCGUAGAGAUGUGGAGGAACACCGAUGGCGAAGGCAGCCCCCUGGGUCAAGAUUGACGCUCAUGCACGAAAGCGUGGGGAGCAAACGAGGAUACGAAAC